GGGGCAUAGCUCAGCUGGUUAGAGCACCUGCCUUACAAGCAGGGGGUCACAGGUUCGAGUCCUGUUGUCCCC
rnacentral:tRNA from 1 species